rnacentral:rRNA from 1 species
AUUGAACGCUGGCGGCAUGCCUUACACAUGCAAGUCGAACGCGAAAGGGGGGCAACCCCCGACGUAGAGUGGCGCACGGGUGAGUAAUACAUCGGAACGUGUCCUGUAGCGGGGGAUAACCUAGCGAAAGCUAGGCUAAUACCGCAUACGUCCUAAGGGAGAAAGUGGGGGAUCGUAAGACCUCACACUAUAGGAGCGGCCGAUGCCGGAUUAGCUAGUUGGUGGGGUAAAGGUCUACCAAGGCUACGAUCCGUAGCUGGUCUGAGAGGAUGAUCAGCCACACUGGGACUGAGACACGGCCCAGACUCCUACGGGAGGCAGCAGUGGGGAAUUUUGGACAAUGGGGGAAACCCUGAUCCAGCCAUGCCGCGUGAGUGAAGAAGGCCUCGG